AAUAGAUAGUAUAAUUACCAUGUAAUGCUGAGAAUGGGCUUCACUCAAACACACUUGGUGGCUAAUUGAAAUAUGUUAAUGAGCACCAUUAAGGCCUAUUUCAAGUGUAAAAGACCUUGUAGCCCACUUGUGGGAACACCUUCAACAAAGUCCUUUGUCCCAAGGGUGAUUCCUGAUUGAAUUUGAAGAAAAAAGGAUGGAUCACAGAAAGAAUGAAAGUGAAACCAUAUGGUAGUCAGGAUGCCUUUUCCAAAGCCUAUUCUAAAUGCAUUAUGGUCUGUGUUCUGCCCAAAACCAUCAGUAAACUUCUAAGAUGGCACACAAAAAUGAUUUUUUUUUUUCCCCAGGGAUCAUUCCUCAUACCACAUGGUGGGUGUUCUAUUUCUUCUUGCUUAAAUAGAUUUUUUUUCUUCAAAAAUUAUGAGACAAGCACCCAGAUUCAAUUUGCAAUCUGAGAAAUUUUGGUUCAUCUCAAAUCUCCACUUUCAGCAUUAUUAAUCAUUAUUUUCCCAUGUUUUAUUUCAAAU
rnacentral:lncRNA from 1 species